UGGAGCAUCCAGAACAGAGUCUCUUCAGCCCGGGAGAGCAGGGACUUGGGCUUGGAGGGAGUGGCCGCUUGCUGAGUCUGACUCCAUGGAGCCCGUGGGCAGCGGGUCAUGCUUGUGCUGGGGCGACCCAGCCUUAGGACUUCCGGCCGUUUCUCUAGGUGACUGCUCUGCUGUCAUGAGUCGUCUCUUUAAUGCCGAGCGCCAGUACCUGCACAGCCCUGAAUGAAGCAGCUGCUCAGAAUCUGUCUUGUCAUCGAUAGACGGACAGUUGCCAAGUGUCCUGUGUGCUGCACCCAUUGGUGCCGACCGACUAAGGAGUUUUUGUCCCCGUCACCCUGUCCCUGUGGUUCUAUUCAGGCAUUAGUUAUGAAUCCGUGUUUAGGAUGAUAAGAGGUUGGCAGUGGGGAGGGUAAGUGAGAAGCUCGCAGGAGUAUGUGUGGUGAUGGCGGGGCAGCGCUGACGGAGGGGUCGGGGCGCCCCUCUGGACUGGGACAUAGCUCUGCUGCAGCAGUCGGGUGCGGUUUUGCCGUGUAAAUGACACCAUGGCCUGCAGGCAUCUCUGACAGCUGCGCCUGCUCCAGAUUCCAGACAUUUCUGUGGCACAUUUCCUGAACCAUCCUCCUGGUUUCUUCCCUUCCCCUCACUGAAUAAAAUCCGUAAUAGCA